rnacentral:misc_RNA from 1 species
GAUGAAGAACGUAGCGAAAUGCGAUAAGUAAUGUGAAUUGCAGAAUUCAGUGAACCAUCGAAUCUUUGAACGCACAUUGCGCCCGGCAGUAAUCUGCCGGGCAUGCCUGUCCGAGCGUCAUUUCUGCCCUCGAGCGAGUCCAGCAUCUAGGUGCUGGGCCCGCCCGGCGUUGGGGCACUACGGGAAGCCCUGUGCUGUCCCCCGUAGGCCCCGAAAUGAAGUGGCGGUCCUGCCGCGGCGCCCCCUGCGUAGUAUAACAGCUCGCUUCGGGACACGGUGGAGGCCUGCCGUCAAACCUUACUCUCUAAGUUUGACCUCGUAUCAGGUAGGGUUACCCGCUGAACUUAAGCAUAUCAAUAAGCGGAGGA